GGUGGGGUACAGGAUGUGGGCCGGGGAGUGGCCAAGGUGAGGCCAAGUAGGGUUGAAAGGGUCGGGCUGGGCUGGGCUGGACUGGAAAAAGCCCCGAGGCCGUCCUGAGGAACUGGGGUCUUAUCUGUCAAGCAAUGAGGAACCGUUGUAGGAUUCUAACUGAAGGAGUAACAUGACUCAUUCUUUUAUUCACUCAUUCGUUUCCUUCCCUCCCUCCCUUUUCACCUGACUCUAGCACUGCCCUUGGGAUGGGUUGGACGCAGAGCAAGGAGUAGCAGGGCCACUUAGGAGUGGCCCUCAGGGACAUGAGCACAAGCAGGUGGGCCUCAACCCACCGGCGGUAAUGCUGGUGAGGCCGGGGCUGAUGAGGGGGCAGAAAUCGCAGGAUCUGAUGACCAGGUGGCCUGCGGGGAGGGACCAGGGAAAGAGUGGUGUUCCAAUUACCCAACUCGGAUAAUUGAAUUCAAGGUGAUGUAAUUACCUGAGAGAAUACGAGGGGAGGAGAGGGGCAGGUCAGAUGAAGAAUUGGUUUGAGUCAGAAGGGGCUCAUGGUGAAGGUGUCCAGGAGACGGUAGGAACAGACUCAGGUACGGGAUGAAGGUGCUGGAAGCCCUGUGCGGGUUGUGCUGGCCCACAGCCAGGAAGAUGGAGGCGGGGGCAGGAAGACGCUGGGCUGUGGGAAGCAGGGCCGGUAGGUAUAGCAUCAGCUGCUGGUCCUGGAGGAAGCAGAGAGUGAGGACGGGAAGAGGCCGCUUCUCGCUGCAGGUCAGCAGUCCCCUCAGUGACAGUGGGACAAACACCAGGGUGCAUGGGAUCCGGGCACGGAGAGGUGUGGAGGUAGCUCUUUGGGAGAGGGAGAGAGUGCUGGCCAGAGCUGCAGGUAAGCUGGAAGGAAGGUGUGUGUUUUAAGGACGGAACAGAGCUGAGCACGUCAUUUGCUUUCCAAAGAGCAACAAUCAGAAACAACCAUAAGGUACUAGGAACUUAGGAAAUUGAUUUAAAGGAAACUCUAAACUGAAAAAUGAUUGUUCUGUCCAGAGGACAAUAGUGAAGCAAAGCAACGCUGCUUAUUUCGAGCUUGAUAAGUAUUUGUGUUAUUUAGGUCUUUCAUCUAAUGGCUCAGAUGAAAGUUGCACUUUCCAGCCUGAUACGUUAACCCAGCACCUGAAGGACAGGUGCCCAGAGAGAAGCUGACUUUCUUAUCUGGUCGGGAAUCACCUGGGCGAUCCAUUUCACAAUGCAACGCAGAGCGAGAUGAACCAGAACCUGCUGUCUGGGAUAGGGUCUGCGAGGGUGCAGCUGACUCUGGCAGCCUUGCCCUGAGGCCCCAGGUCACUGCUGAAGGGAGCUGGAUGAAUCUGCAUGAGGAACUCAAGAACUGCCUCCUCAGAUGCCAAAUGAGCAGACCUAGUGGCUUGACCAGAGCAGUCCUGAUGGGGCCCUGUGGCGACGAAGCUGCUCAAACUAAACAAGCAAACAAAAAAAAACUCUGGCGAGCAGGGCUCAGCUGUCACGAGGCCACUUUCAGCCAGUCUGUGCUGCCUGGGGAGCACCAAGACCCCCCAGCUGCUGCCCCCAUGGCACGGGGGCUGGAAUGGGACCUGCUUUACAGAGCAGUGGCCUUGGAGAUCCAGGAGGGUGCCUUCUCGGCCACGCUUAGUGCUCGGGGAGUGGGAUGCCCUUGAAGACUCACUGGGUUUCCCACAAAGGGCAGGGGGGUUGAUUGCAAAAUGCAGGCUUGGGUACGUUGACCUGAAGCAAAUAGAUGGCCAGGUAUUCUCCAGCAAAGAUGAGUUUAUUCAGGAUCAGCAGAGAAUUGCAAUUCGGGGGCUCAACCACGGCAGCCACGUGCAAGUGCCCACACGGCAGAGGAAGGAGACACUUAUAGGCGGGACAAGGGAGGAGGCGGGCUUAGUAAGCAGAGCCGCAGCCUUUCAUUGGCUGAGUCCUGGCGGGAAAGAAUGGGAGUCUUUCUUCUGUUGAGCUGGGCUGUCAGUGCAGGGGUGAGAGCGCCCCCUGCUGGUCUCCCGACUCUGUUUAACAGGUUUCCGUUCAUUAAUGUUUUACAGCAGUCACAGGACAAAAGCCAAAAGGGACCUGAGAUAUGCAUUUUCAUUAUUCCUGCGUGGGGAGGGUGGUCAGAACAUUGUCCUUUUUAAACAAAGCAAGUGGUUCCAGCAUAUUCUAGACUCCCAUCCAGCCUGAGGUAGAGAACCUCAGCCCCUCAUCAGGAAGAAGGGCAAGGGUCGAGGGAGGGGCUCCAUCAUCCGCCCCUCUGUCAUUCUGCCGCGUUCCCCUCCCCGACCCCAACUGCCACCAGCACACAUGCUUCCUCUCUCUUCCCAGGGCCAUCCCACCUCCAAGGCAACGUGAGACCUGCACGAGGACCCUGGGGCGCUCUCCUCCUGUGGGCUGUCUGAGCAGCACCGCGGCCAGGUCCUGGGGUCAUCUACGGCGUUAUUCCUGGCGAACUUGAUGUUUGCGCAUCGCCUUUAAUCACUUUAUUACCUGAACCACCCAGCAUGCAUGAAAUGGCAACCGUGACGCACUAGCUGGUGCUGUGACUGUUUAUUCAUUCCACAAACUUUUAUUGAGCACCUACUCUAUAGACCAGGAGUUACACUAGGGUCUGGAGACGUCGUGGUAGGGGACACGGUCCCUGGCCUCACGAUACCAGAUAGAUAUUGUGAGAUAAUAGAAAAAAUGUGCACUGGAGUCUGCCACCGGUUCCUGGCACAGGGCUCCGGAGCCCUUGUAAUUUCCUAGGUGAUGAGAACACGAGGAGCAUCUCUUGUUCUAAUAUUUGGUCUUUGAUCCCCGUUCCUGACACAGAGCUCCUGAAACCCUGGUAAUAUCCUGGGUGAUAGGAGUGUCUUUUGUUCUAAUGAGGUGACUCUGGGCGGGCUCCUGGUUGAGGGCUGCUCACUGGAAAGACCCACCCGUGAUUAGAAGCUUGGAAUCUUCAGCCCCACCACCCCACAUUCUCUUGAGAAGGGAGAAGAUCUGAAAAAUGGAAUUAAUAAUGGAUCAUGCCCACGUGAGGAAGCCUCCGUACGUAAAAUCCCACUAGCGUGGGGUUCAGAGAGCUUCCAGGUGGGUGAGCACAGCCACACGGAGGGGGGUGACGCACCCCAACUCCAGGGGGACAGAGGCUCCUGCGCUCAGGACCCUCCCAGACCUCGCCCUGUGCAUCUCUUCAUCUGUCCUUUACUAUAUCCUUUCAUAAACUGGUAAACGUUCGUGUUUCCCUGAAUUCUUUGAGGCACUGCAACAAAUUAACCCACCCUGAGGAGGGGGUCGUGGGAACCUCUGAUUUGUAGCCAAAUCCUACAGAAGGUGUGGGUAACUUGGGGACUUGUGACCGUCAUCUGUGGGACAGGGAGCAGCCUUGGGGGGCUGAGCCCUUAACCUGUGGGAUCUGACGCUGUCUCCAGGUACACAGUGUUAGAAUUGACUUAAAUUGCAGGACACCCAGCUGGUGUCAUGGGAAUUGCUUGGUGUGGUGUGGGAAAACCUCCCACACAUUUGGUGACCAGAAGCGUCAGAAGUGAGGUGCUUUGUACGAGGAAUAAAGAAGAGAAACAUGGGAGGGAAGAACCGGGUUAUUCUCUAUUCGGGAAAAGACCGAACAGAGGUUUUUCCUUAUACGGAUAUGCAAAUAAAUGACAGUUGACGUGGUAUGUGCUGUAGUGACGCUAAGCCUGAGGGGCAGGAAAAGGAGAAGCAGCUAGAAGUCUGGCUGGGGAGUUAAGAAGGGGUCCCAGAAUCCAUGACACUCAGCUGAGAUCUGAAGAAUGAGGAUGAGCCCAGGGGACACCCAGGAGGAGAGAAUUCCAAACUAGGGAUGGGGAAACUCAUCAAAGUGCUCAUGGUUGAGGAGACAGAUAACCUACUAUUGCCGGACCACUAAACAUGAGGCAGUUCAGGCUGGACACCUAUGAAGGGCCUCAUCUGUCAGGCCAAUAAAUUCGUGUUUUAUCUUACAGGCUGCGGAGAGUCCCUGAAGAAUUCCGAGCUGCGGGGUCACGGAAGCAGAGUUAUGCAUCGGGAAAACGGCUCUGCAGCAACGCAGACAGAUGGGAUGCAGAGGUCAGGAGUAUCUGGGCCGCCAUGCUUCGGGUGAAAGGUGGCAGGUGAUUCCCCUCGAUGACUCCCCACAAACCAAGUAUCUCAGUUUAAUGUUAACUUUUCAAAAAAAAGAAAAAAGAAAACCUCUCAACAAAGAAAAGUCCAGGACCAGGUAGCCCACUGGUGAAUUCUAACACUGAGCCUUCUCAAAUUCUUCUAAAAAAUUAAAGAGGAGGGAGGACUUCUGAACUCAUACCCUGAUAUCAAAGCAAGACAAAGACAUCACAAGAAAAUAAAACUGCAGGAUAAUAUUCCUUAUGAAUAUUGAUGCAAAAAUCCUCAACAAAAUACUAGCAAAUUGCAUCCAACAAGAUAUUAACAGGAUUAUACAUCAUGACCAAGUGGGAUUUAGUCCAAGAAUGCAAGGGUGGUUCAACGUAAGAAAAUCUAUCACUGUCAUACAUCACAUGAAUAGUAUAAAGAGAAAAAAACCACAUGAUCAUCUUGUGAAAAUGAAAAAAAGAAACCUCGUUUAAAACAUUUAUAGUCAGUUGAUUUUGAUAAGGGUGCCAAGUCCAUUCAAGGCGGUAAAGAAUAUUCUCUUCCAUGGAAGAUGCUGGGACAACUGGAUUCCCACUCACAAGGAUGAAGUUCUACCCUUACUUCACACCACAUACAAAAAUAACUCAGAAUUGAUCAACAACCUAAAUACAAGGCUAGAACUCUACAAUUGUUAGAAGAAAACAUAGGAGUAAAUGUUCAUGACCUUGGGUUUGGCAAUGGGCUCUUAGAUAUGACACCAAAAGCUCAAAGCAAAAACAACAAAAAUAAAUAAAAUAAAUAAAUUGGAUUUCAUCAAAAUUAAACAUUUUUACGUGUCAAAGGACAUUAGCAAGAAAGUAAAAGACAUUGGAAAGCAGGCUUGAAUUAAGGGCCAACCAAGAUGCAUGCAGACACAGGUGUGCUGUAUACGUACUUUGAAUCGCGUUAAUGUGCUUCGAAGGCUACUCCGGCACCCUUACAGGGGGGCAGAGUUCGUUCUAUGGUCGUUGCUAUUGUUUGCUGCUGCCUGCAAAGCUGAACAGAGGAUACAAAGAGGUGCUCAUCUCAGCACGCCUUCAAUUCUCAGCUCCUUGCGAAAUAGACUCCAUUUUUAUACAGUUUGUGGUUUUGAUUUACAGGGUUUUUUUUAAUCUUAUGAAAAAUGAAUAACCUCCUACUUCCCUACACCCGCUUUUAGCCCUAUCAUUGGGGAUACUUCUCUUUAACUCAUUAUCAUAGUUAAAGGUGGGCUCUGGAGCCAGACUGCUUUGCAUCUUAACUAGACUCUUUGGACCUCAGUUUUCUCAUCUGUAAAAUGGAAAUAACAGUAGGAACUGCAUUAUGGUGCUGUUGGGAUUAAGUCAGUUAAUCCAUGUAAAGAACCUUCCACACUGAUAGAACACAGUAAGUGCUGUGUAAGUGCUAAUGGGCAUUACCCCAUACUAUUCUUAUUUCUAAUAAUUACCCAGAAAUAUUAAGUGCCCUUUUAGCUUGUCCUCGAGUAGCAGGGAGCAGUCAGUUCACAUUCCCUCACCCAAGGUUCAUUACUGAGUCAUAGAUAAAGUAGGAAGAAAAGUCAUAGAACAGAAUUUUGGCUUCAUUAUAUUUGCAAUUCCAGUGGUACAAUCUUGAAAGUACCCUUUCCUUCUAAUUUUUAAGCAAACUUUCACCCAUCAUACAUCACUGUGUACCAUGAGAGCCUAAUACCUCUAAUCAUACGGUUGCCAAAAUGCUCGGACUGGUUUGGGGUGGAGAGAGGGAGUUCAAGCUUUGCUUGGGUCCAAGUAUUACAUGCAAAAGUAAUUUUGAAAAGCAUGUUAAAGUUGCCAGUAUUUGGUUGUCAACUAAAUCUUAGUUAAAAUGUGAGAAGCUUUUGUUCUCAUUUUUUAAAAAUUUAUUUAUUUAUUUCUGGCUGUGUUGGGUCUUCGUUGCUGCGCGUGGGCUUUCUCUAGUUGCGGUGAGUGGGGGCUACUCUUCGUUGCGGUGUGCGGGCGUCUCAUUGCGGUGGCUUCUCUUGUUGCGGAGCACGGGCUCUAGGCACGCGGGCUUCAGUAGUUGUGGCGCACGGGCUCAGUAGUUGCUGCACACUGCCUCUAGAGCACAGGCUCGGUAGUUGUGGUGCACGGGCUUCAUUGCUCUGCGGCAUGUGGGAUCUUCUCGGACCAGGGCUCGAACCCGUGUCCCCUGCAGUGGCAGGCGGAUUCUUAACCACUGCGCCACCAGGGAAGCCCUGUUCUCAUUUUUGAUGAGUCAGUUAUUCAUGGCAUGACUGGCCAUUUAACAUCAAAAACCUAUUUAAUCACAAAGAGCUUUUUAUUUGAAUCUAAUCUCUAGAUUACCAUUUUGUUGGGACAAUAUCCACUUAAGACUUAUUAAUGCAAAAAGCCAGUUCAUAAUAUAUCGUCAUUAGAAUUCCAGCCACAGCUUUUGAGGAAUCAAGAUUGAUCACUCUCGACAAGCAGCAGACUAUCCCAAAGCACCGCAGGAAGUGAAAGUUCUCAGAAAGCAGGGGUUUUGUUAGGAAAUCAACACAAUAGCUCAUUUCCUAAUGAAGCUAGCAGGGGUCAGUGUCUUUUAGUUAUGUUUGAGAAAAACCAUAAAAUUGCCUCAUGAGAUUUCAGAGUUUGGACGAUCUUCAGUUGGAGACAAAAGACACCUUGAAAACACAAAACAUCUACUCACCCCAAAAUGUCCAAAGAAACCUGAAAAUAUUCAGACACCCAACAUGUUCCCUGCACACGUUCCCUGCCUGUGCCUCCAAACCGCCUCCAAGUUCUUUUCCUUGGGAACUCAGCAGCAAGGUAGAAGUAACAAUAGAAAGGAACUAAGAAAAAACUCUGGUCAAUUGUUUUUAGAGGAAUAGGGCCAAAAAAUAGUGAAAGGCAACCUACAGAAUGGGAGAAAAUAUUUGCAAAUUACAUAUCUGAUACUAUCCAGAAUGUAUAAAGAACUCUUAUCAUUCAACAACAAACAACCCAAUUAAACAAUGGGCAAAGGACUUGCAUAGACAUUUCACCAAAGAAGGUGUACAAAUGGCCAAUGAGCCCAAGAAAAGAUGCUCAACAUCAUUAGUCAUCAGGGAAAUGCAAAACAAAACCACAGUGAGACACCCCUUCAGAUGUUAGGACCGGUAUAAUGAUAACCAAAAAAGCAACAUAACAAAUGUUGGUGAGAAACGUGGAGGAAUCAGUGAGAAUGUAAAGCGGUGGAGCCACUGUGAAAACCAGUUAGGCAGUUCCUUAAAAAGUUAAACAGUUACCAGAUGACCCAGCAAUUUCACUCCUAGGUAUACACCCAAAGGAUUUUUUUAAAGGGACUCAGAUACUUGUGCACCAAUAUUUAUUGCAGGAUUAUUCGCAAUAGCCAAAUGACCCAAGUGUCCAUCAACAUAUGAAAGGAUAAACAAAAUGUGGUCUAUUCAUAAACUGGAAGUGUACUCAGCCAUAGACAGGAAUGCAGCUCUGAUACAUGUUACGAUACGGAUGAACCUUGAAAACAUUUUUUUUUUUUUUUUUGCGGUACGCGGGCCUCUCACUGUUGUGGCCUCUCCCGUUGCGGAGCACAGGCUCCAGACACGCAGGCUCAGCGGCCAUGGCUCACGGGCCCAGCCGCUCCGCGGCAUGUGGGAUCUUCCCAGACCGGGGCACGAACCCUUGUCCCCUGCAUCGGCAGGCGGACUCUCAACCACUGCGCCGCCAGGGAAGGCCAACCUUGAAAACAUUUUGCUAAGUGAAGUAAGCCAGACACAAAAGGCCACCUAUUGUAUGAUUCCAUUUGUAUGAAAUAUCUAGAACAGGCGAAUUCAUGGAGACAGAAAGAAGAUUAUAUGUUACCAGGACCUGGGUGGAGGGGGGAGUUACUGCUUAAUGAUUACUGAGUUUCUGUUUGGGGUGAUGAAGAAUUUUUGGAAAUACAACUAGUGAUGUUGCAUAACAUUGUGAAUGUAAUUAAUGCCACAGAAUUGUGUACUUAAAAUGGUUGAAAUGGCAAAUCUUAUACAGAUUUUACUACAAUAAAAAAAAUAACUAUGUUAUUGGGAAGAGUUUGUUUCCAAAAAGAAUGGGGAUGCUGUUAGCAGAGGGAAAGAAAAGUCAUUAAAUAAAACCAAAAGUAACUACUUCUCUAGGAGAAAGUUCAGGCUACUUCGAUUAGUCUUAAGGUAGCCCUCGAUGUUAACUUUCAUCUGAAACACAAACAGGGGGAGUUGGGGAGAAGAGGUAGUAUACAGCUGGCUUAACUGCCCCCUUGCCUGGGA